UACGUAGGGGGCGAGCGUUGUCCGGAUUUAUUGGUCGUAAAGAGCGUGUAGGCAGCCGAGCAGGUCCGUUGUGAAAACUGAAGGCUCAACCUUCAGAGGUCGAUGGAAACCGUUCGGCUAGAGUCCGGAAGAGGAGAGUGGAAUUCCUGGUGUAGCGGUGAAAUGCGCAGAUAUCAGGAAGAACACCCGUGGCGAAAGCGGCUCUCUGGGACGGUACUGACGCUGAGACGCGAAAGCGUGUGGAGCGAACAGG
rnacentral:rRNA from 1 species